CCCGACUCCCCCUCCUGCUCCCACCGUGGGCUCUGAAGCCAGGAAACCCGAGAGGAAAUGACUGAGCCCGUCUUGGUCCCCGCCCGCCAGCUUUCCCCUGGCCACACCCUCCGCCAGGACGCUGCUACCGCCACUGCCCUCAGUCCACGAGGCUGCCGGCUUGGGACCCCCAGCUCUGAAAUGUCACCCUGUGGUUGCCUGUGUCUCCUCACCGUCGUUGGCCUGAUUCUCCCCACCAGAGG